rnacentral:tRNA from 1 species
AGAGGGUUGUCAGAGUGGUCUAUUGAGCCUCUUUGCUAAGGAGGUGGGCCGGCAGGCCCCGCAGGUUCGAAUCCUGCACCCUCUGCCA